AAGCUCUAGGUAUACUCACGGUCAAUGUUUGUAGCACUCAGAAGAGCUAAAUUUCUCUGUGUUCUUUACUUCUAACCUUGGAGCAGAUCACAGGCAAGAAUUUUGGUGGGCAGGUUGCAGUUGCAGAAUGCAGGUUGCGCCAGCAAAAUCUUUGAAGGGUUAACAUCUCUGGAAACUCAGGUCACCGAGGAAAAAUACAAGGUUUUUUUUCAAAAUGCUAAAGCACUGAAUAAAUUGCUCCCACAAAACAUGGAAACAAAGACAACUUGUGAUACAGAAGGAAUGAAUGCAAGGAAGUUCUUAGAAAAAGUGAAAUAUUUCCUUCUUUCCCUCCAAAUGGAACAGCAGAGUUAACACAAAGUUUACAUUUCUUCUAGUGUUAUAAUUCCCCACUUCCAGGUUUCAAAGUGCCAAGAAUGUUAUUUGUGUUUCCAAAUGGAAGUUUAAAUUCUGUACAAACAGAGGUUCCGGUUAUGUGUACAAUUGUUAGCUCUAAAUCAUUUGUUUUAUCUCCUGUAAUGUGUCAGACCAAUCCUUGGUGUAACUCUAGUUUUAGCAGUUACACCAAGGAUGAAUUUAGAGACAUACAAGCAAAGGAAAUAUAUUUAUAUUCCACACUAGUUAUUGCAGACACAUUUAUGACUUCACAUUUCAUGAACCAUAUUACAAAAUUCAAAUGAAAACAUGUAAUAAUGAUAUGUGGUAUGACUAUAUUUCCUUUGCCUUUUAAUCUUGUGAAGAUUAGUUAUCUGGGGAUAUAGGUCCACAAGGGACUGAAUAUACUUCGGGGUUAUGGAAUGGAAUACCCAUAGAUUCAAGUGUAAGGUCAAAGUUGUGCUAGAUACAUUUGCUGGUUUUGCAGUAUUUGGUGGGGAUGUACUUUUCCAUUUUUUUUCUUUUUUUGGAACUUAUUUAUACUGACAAUACCUCUGUUAUAGCUCUAUACCGAGAAUAGCCUGUUAUGCCAGAACAGAAGUGCCUUUUCUGGUAUAAUUUAUUGUGCUCGGGGAACUGGUUUUAGUUACACCAGCAACAGCACCUUUUCCAAUAUAAGAUAGUGGGAGAGUUUACUAUCAAAAGUCAUAUAAUAGGCUUGAACUUAACAACCGUUUUGAAAUCCACCAAGGAUAACUGUCAGAAGUAACUUUCACCUAAUAUUUCAACUAUGCGUUUUCUCUGAAAGGAACUCAUUAUACACUGGUUAUCAGCAAGGGAUGCAAGUGGUAGUAGUGACAUACUAUUGACACAAGCAUUACUUAUCCAGGUUCAGUGCCUAUUGAAGAAGACCUGGCUACACAAAACGCGCAGGCAGAAGUGACCAUUUUUGCCUGAUCUGGCCACAGAAAGCUGUCUACAGCCAUGUCUAAACACAAGUGCAUGGCUGUAGACUGCUUCAAAAUGGCCAGUCACAUGAAAAUCUGAACUCUCAUUGCAUGAGGGUUAAGAUUAAGAUGUUUCAAGAUAGAGUGUCUUCUGUAACUUGUGUCUGUGCUGCCUCCCAGCCUGUCACUGUUUUCAGACUGGGAGGGGGGAAAGGGAGUGGAGGGAGUUCAGUCUGGGGUUUUUUCAGCCCCUGCUGGAGGGUAAGGCAGCUAUAUUGGAGUCCACCUGAGGUGGGGGGUCUCCAAUUCACCCACCCUACCCUCCAGUGCCAUCCAGGGAACACCUAGAACAGUGGU